AGCUCCAGAAGCGUAUAUUAAAGUUGUUGCAGUUAAAACGCUCGUAGUCGGGUUUCGGGUCGGGCCGAGCGGUCUGCCGAUGGGUAUGCACUGUUUGGCGCGGCCUUCUUUCCGGAGACCGCGGCUACUCUUAACUGAGCGGGCGUGGGAGACGGAUCGUUUACUUUGAAAAAAUCAGAGUGUUUCAAGCAGGCAGCUCGCUCUUGCAUGGUACAGCAUGGGAUGAUUGAAUAGGACUCCGGUGCUAUUUUGUUGGUUUCGAACACCAGGAGUAAUGAUUAAUAGGGACAGUUGGGGGUAUUCGUAUUCCAUUGUCAGAGGUGAAAUUCUUGGAUUUACGAAAGAUAAACUUCUGCGAAAGCAUUCGGCAAGGAUGUUUUCAUUG
rnacentral:rRNA from 1 species